AACGAACGCUGGCGGCAUGCCUAACACAUGCAAGUCGAACGAGACCUUCGGGUCUAGUGGCGCACGGGUGCGUAACGCGUGGGAACCUGCCCUUAGGUUCGGAAUAACUCCCCGAAAGGGGUGCUAAUACCGGAUAAUGUCUUCGGACCAAAGAUUUAUCGCCUUUGGAUGGGCCCGCGUUGGAUUAGCUAGUUGGUAGGGUAAAAGCCUACCAAGGCGACGAUCCAUAACUGGUCUGAGAGGAUGAUCAGCCACACUGGGACUGAGACACGGCCCAGACUCCUACAGGAGGCAGCAGUGGGGAAUAUUGGACAAUGGGCGAAAGCCUGAUCCAGCAAUGCCGCGUGAGUGAUGAAGGCCUUAGGGUUGUAAAGCUCUUUUACCCGGGAUGAUAAUGACAGUACCGGGAGAAUAAGCUCCGGCUAACUCCGUG
rnacentral:rRNA from 1 species